rnacentral:rRNA from 1 species
UACGAAGGGGGCUAGCGUUGCUCGGAAUCACUGGGCGUAAAGCGCACGUAGGCGGCUCUUUAAGUCAGGGGUGAAAUCCUGGAGCUCAACUCCAGAACUGCCUUUGAUACUGAGAAGCUUGAGUCCGGGAGAGGUGAGUGGAACUGCGAGUGUAGAGGUGAAAUUCGUAGAUAUUCGCAAGAACACCAGUGGCGAAGGCGGCUCACUGGCCCGGUACUGACGCUGAGGCGCGAAAGCCAGGGGAGCAAACGGG